rnacentral:lncRNA from 1 species
CUAAUUCUGUGCUCUAGUGCAGUGUUAUUUAGUGUAUGCAGGAUAAAUUUUUUGGUACUAGGAGCAUAAGAUCAUCAGGAGGCAGAUAAGGAAGUAGAAUUGGUUCACCAACACCAUGAUGUGAAAAGUGACGAACCCUAACCUGGCACAUUAAUGAAAUUCAAAAUUAGGUUAUGGGAUGUCAAGACUAUUAAAGCAAACAAAGCUCUUGAGAUUAAGGAUCCUUAAAGUUGGUGACAAAGGAAAUUUCUGAGAUUUUGUUGGUGUCAUGAAGGAAGGAAGAACGUCGAUAUAAAAUAUCAACACCUACUGAUGGGUGUUUGGGCUUUAUCGAGUCAAGCUAAUGACGUUAAAGAAGCGCUUGCUGGGAGGCAACCCAGUUUCUAACCCCAUUUUUUAAUUUUCUUUUUCUUUUCUUUUAUUUUAUUUGAUUUUAUUUUAUUUUAUUUUUUUAGGUUAAAUGCUGCUUCUGAUGGUAAUGAUGAUAGCAUCUA